rnacentral:lncRNA from 1 species
AGCUAUUGUUUCCUCCCAUCUUCAGAGCCAGUUUACAUCGACAAAAGAAAAAAUUAAAGAAAAUUGAGAUUUCCUUUAAUAAAUACAUAUUAUCAACUUUUUCUCAUAGUCAGAGAUGCUGAGAUGUUCAUGGGUGCCUGAAAGAUGUUGAGGAACAUUCAGAGCCUCCUCCGUGAGAAUAGAUUGCUAUUACCCUAUAAAAUCAUAUUUCAAAUGACUUUUCUUACAGUUGCCAAAGACUCAACUCAUGAUGAUAGAUGCAUACGCAAGGAUUUUUGACAAAUCCUCAAUGUAAAAGAAUAUGAGCAGAGCAGGAUCUUUACAGGAGACUGGAAAAGGAGGUGAUUCCCUCUCCGACUACUCCCCAAUACGUUUCACGCUGUGGCUGGAGAAUAUCUCUGGAAAAAUACCAACAUUUUCUUGAAGUGAAUUUACCUCUUUUAACCUGUGCACUCUGCAAUGCAGCGACACAGUGCCUGUACGUCUCCUCGGCCCAGAUCUUGGGAAACUUGCCUGUUUUGGUGUGCAUCAGACCAUGGCUACUUCUCGAAGCCUUCCCAGACAGCUGGCAUGGUGUGUUUAUUCUACAGGCCCAUCAUUUCCGUUAUAUUAAUACCCCAUUCCAGAGCGCCACGUAAGUGUCUCUGUGUCGUCUUGUGCUUCUGCUGUUCAUGCCUUAUUAGAAAAAAUUUAACAAGCGAAAAUUUAUCAAGUACCAG